rnacentral:rRNA from 1 species
GAACGGUAACAGGAAGAAGCUUGCUUCUUUGCUGACGAGUGGCGGACGGGUGAGUAAUGUCUGGGAAACUGCCUGAUGGAGGGGGAUAACUACUGGAAACGGUAGCUAAUACCGCAUAACGUCGCAAGACCAAAGAGGGGGACCUUCGGGCCUCUUGCCAUCGGAUGUGCCCAGAUGGGAUUAGCUAGUAGGUGGGGUAACGGCUCACCUAGGCGACGAUCCCUAGCUGGUCUGAGAGGAUGACCAGCCACACUGGAACUGAGACACGGUCCAGACUCCUACGGGAGGCAGCAGUGGGGAAUAUUGCACAAUGGGCGCAAGCCUGAUGCAGCCAUGCCGCGUGUAUGAAGAAGGCCUUCGGGUUGUAAAGUACUUUCAGCGGGGAGGAAGGGAGUAAAGUUAAUACCUUUACUCAUUGACGUUACCCGCAGAAGAAGCACCGGCUAACUCCGUGCCAGCAGCCGCGGUAAUACGGAGGGUGCAAGCGUUAAUCGGAAUUACUGGGCGUAAAGCGCACGCAGGCGGUUUGUUAAGUCAGAUGUGAAAUCCCCGGGCUCAACCUGGGAACUGCAUCUGAUACUGGCAAGCUUGAGUCUCGUAGAGGGGGGUAGAAUUCCAGGUGUAGCGGUGAAAUGCGUAGAGAUCUGGAGGAAUACCGGUGGCGA